CAUGGUAAAUUUUAUCAUGGAAUAUUCAAAUCAUCAUAAUCAGUUCCUUAGAAUCCGUGAGUCGUUACGCCUUGGGGACUCGUGAAGAAAAAAACGUAUUACAGUCAGCUGACUUUUCAAUCUUUUUCGCAACCCAUGAAAAGACCACCCUGACAUUGACAUACAUCUAAGGACUGGCCUUACGGGCACUAAAAAUGGUACUAGUUCAGCGGUGUCACUUACGAAUUCGAGCCAAUCGUGCAUGCUAACGCAACUAGUUGCGAACAAUCGCGCGCGUGAUGCGAACUCAUCAACCAAUCGCGUUGUAGCGGUGUUUAUUGCCCGUAAGGCCAGUCCUUAGAUAUCUACGUCAAUGCCCCCUGACCUUUUCAUGGGUUGAGAAAAAGAUUGAAAAACACUUGAAUUGGUUGAAAACGUCACAUAUAGCAUGAUUAUUGAUUUUAACAUUCAGCCUAGCCAAGAUGCCAAUCGUUUGUGCCGUAUCGAACGAAACGCUAACGUCUCUGUCGCACUUAAAAUGUAAAGAGUGAUUGAACUUAUUUGGCUUGCUUUAUAUAUAUCUUAUAGUCUUAUUACUAUACUGCAAACCGUAAUUCAAGACCAAAAAAAGUAAGAAAUUGUUGCCACUUUUCACUAGCGCGUCUUGUAUUUAUGUAAAAAUAAGUAAAUAAAAGUACUUUUUUAAAUCGCAGGAGUAAAAUUACUAAUAAAUAAAUUAUCUUAGCGUGAUUAUUUAUCAAAAGGAAUUUACAGAAUUUACUAUUUUACAAACAAAUUAUUGCAGUGGCAACAUUGUCUUACUUUUUUCGGUCUUGAAUUACGUUUUGCAGUUUCCGAAUUCCGAGUUCUACGAUAAAAUAUAACAUGCUAUUAGAGGAUAAUGAAAGAGAUAACAAAUUCUUAGUGUACUGCAAUAUUUAUAUGUUUUUUAAAACAUAUAAUGUCAAUAAUUAUACAUACAUAAUAUUUAACGUUUAAAGUUGCUUUUUGUCACUUCGUAAGUUUCAUGGGAAAGCUUAUAACAGAGGGCCUACCGCGAACCACGUUCGACGUGUUACCUCUCUUUCACAUUUACGUACGAGCCUACAAGUGCGACAGAGAGGCAACAAAACAAGAGUUAUUACACUAUCGGUGGUAUCACAAAACAAGAAAUACAAUUUUGAACUUUGUUGCUUAUGUAGUAAGAUACUAAAUUCCAAUACACACGCCCUAGAAUUGUUAGCUGUUUAGAAGCUAUGGAUACAUUUUAAUAAUUGCGCUGUGCGCUUUAUUGGUGUUGCACCAAAUUUUUAACAAAAUAGCAUACUUUAUACUUACACUAUAACAAGAGAAAUGUAUAUGGUACGAGUUUCUCCAAAGAACAUUACGUUAGGUAGGCGAGGUGUGAUAUCAUACGUGUAUAGGCAGGUCCACUUCACACAGAGCGAGCAGCCUCGCGAGGAAACUCGUACUGUACAUUGUACAAAUGGCCCUAAGCAUGGCAGUGUAUAACAGGUCCACCUGGUGUGUAAGGUAACGUAGCAUAUGUAUGUAACUUAAGGGUGUCACAUCUCUUUAAAAAAACCUAAAAUAAUGGUUGUAAUAAUAAGAUUAUAAGAGCAUCUCUGCACUCUUGCCGCCGCAGUUAUGUAGCUCGCCUUUACUGACGAGGCGCGUAGAGUCAUAUGUAGAGCGUGUGGUAUUAUAAGAGCAUCUCUGCACUCUUGCCGCCGCAGUUAUGUAGCUCGGUAGAGCGUCCGUCGAGCUCGACGAGCCACUCGUACCACACGCGGUGCGAGUCCACGCAGCGCCAGAACCGAGCCGUGAUGACGGAGCCUUUACUGACGAGGCACGUAGAGUCAUAUGUAGAGCGUGUGGUAUUAUAAGAGCAUCUCUGCACUCUUGCCGCCGCAGUUAUGUAGCUCGCCUUUACUGACGAGGCACGUAGAGUCAUAUGUAGAGCGUGUGGUAUUAUAAGAGCAUCUCUGCACUCUUGCCGCCGCAGUUAUGUAGCUCGGUAGAGCGUCCGUCGAGCUCGACGAGCC